UACAGAGGGUGCGAGCGUUGUCCGGAAUCACUGGGCGUAAAGGGCGCGUAGGUGGCGACCCAAGUCUGUGGUGAAAGCUCGACGCUCAACGUCGAGUCGGCCAUAGAUACUGGGUUGCUUGAGCACUGUAGAGGCAGAUGGAAUUCCGGGUGUAGCGGUGGAAUGCGUAGAGACCCGGAAGAACACCGGUGGCGAAGGCGGUCUGCUGGGCAGUUGCUGACACUGAGGCGCGACAGCGUGGGGAGCAAACAGG
rnacentral:rRNA from 1 species